GGAUAAGUCCCACAUUAUUUCACCUGCUCAAACACACGCACAUUUGCAUGGUAAGCUACAUCUCCUUCCUCUAUGACAUACCAGGAAUUCCAGGAGGACCGAUGGCAACUAACACUGUAAACCUGAUAUGCUUUCAAGUCGUCACACACACAUACUGUACAUGUACACUGUGGUCACCGUUGGGUUGAGGGGUCGUUCUUCAUCCUGUCAGUGACAGCAGCGUGUCCCCUCAGUCUGCCAGUCACUCUGUAGGCUGCAUGAAGGUAAAAGGGAGGAAGAAUCUACCGUGACCCCCAGCUUCCACAGCGACCCAUCCAGCCGUGACCCCUCAAUGAAACACCGAGCUUCCUGGAAAACACUUGCUGUCUACUCUGGAAAUGAGAGCACAUUUAUCUUCUAGUCAGAGAUCUUCUCAGUUCAAAACAAAACAUAUUGAUGACACUUGUCCACGGAGCAGGACGCGACCUUCCAGGCCAGCCAAGGAGAUAAACAGAGACAAAAACUGAAGAGAUCGGAAAUGUGUCUCAUGUUUGUUCCCCAGAUUAAUAUGUGUGGCUUGUCACUUGAUGCUGCAUGUUUCAGAAGUUACAAACGUUGUAUAAGUAAGUAUAUCUUAGCUAAUGCCAUCAGUAUUUUUAGAUAUUCUUAGUGUUAAGUGUCGAUGUGGUGAUCAUAGAUCAGUAUUAUUUGCUUACAACAUUAGCUCCCUUCAAGAUAAGAAAAUGUGAUCACAAUCAGCUGGUUGUGACGUGACUGUUAGCUAGUUAUCACACUGAAAAUACUAUCAGCAGUGGUUAGUAGAGCACAAAGCAUCCCUAGUUGCAUAUUUAUCUAAAAUUCCCUGUAAAGCACAAUAUUUGAGCUUUGUUGAGGUCACGUUGAAAACCCACACUAAAUUAGAUAUUACCCGAUCAGCUGUGGCACCAUUAUGUGUUUUUAAAGACGAUCUGUCUGAUCAGCUGAAGCAGCAGGAUGGUCAUUCAGUGCAGUAAAAUGAUUUGGAAAUGCGGUCAUAGGAUUGUCCAAACUUUCUGGUUCUCUCUGUUGUUUUUCCCUGUUUGCCAUGCCCCGCCUUUCAGUCCAAACAAUAAUCCCAGCAGAUUAUAACAAAUGCUUGGAGUUAAAACCAUUUGCUUCAGCUCUGACUCAUAACUUUACAAAACAAGCCGAAUCUGCUGAUGAUGUAAUACACUUUUCUCCAUUUUACAUUGGAGGGACAAAAACAGACAAAUGUUUUCACAACUAAAAUCUAAUAUGUCUCUAAAAU
ensembl:lncRNA